AACACCUCAUGUGUUAAUGAAAUAGAGAUUUUUUUUUUUUUCCUGCUUGGAAUCCCGCCUCCUAGUGGUGAACUUCUGGACCAGCCACAGCCAUGAAGUACAGAUCAAGAUUGGGCCCGAGAAAGAACAUUGAGCUAAGAAAAACACCUAACACCAUGCUGAUCGCCAGCCUACUGAGAGCAGUCAUUGCCUCCAUCUGUCUUGGAGCCAGCAUAUCUCAGAAGGUAACUCAGGCUCAGACUGCAAUUUCUAUCAUGGAGAAGAAGAAUGUGACAUUGGACUGUGUUUAUGAAAUUCGUGAUACUAAUUACUACUUAUUCUGGUACAAGCAAACCCUAAGUGGGGAAAUGGUUUUCCUUGUUCGCCAGGACUCUUACAAAAAGGAAAAUGCAACAGAGGGUCGCUAUUCUCUGAACUUCCAGAAAUCUGCCAGCUACAUUGGACUCACCAUCACAGCCACAUGGGUUCAGGAUGCAGCAGUGUAUUUCUGUGCUCUGGGGGAGAGCACAGUGAGAGGAGUGUCUACAGGAGUCCCACAAAAACCUCAACAAGAGAUAGAGGCCCUGAGGAGACACUCCACCACAGAGAGGAGGAAGCAGGGGCUGUGGCAACACAGGUGGAGUCUGGCAAGAAAACUUAGUUCAAUUCCUGUGGAAUGCCUGUAUCAUUUAGCUCCAUCAUUUAGCAGAAGGGAAGCUAUCAGAAGUCUUGGUGAAAUUGGGGAACGUGAAAACCACUUCUACAUAGAGAGGGAGGAUUUCAUUGCUGCAUGA